ensembl:lncRNA
GUUGAAACCAAGGUGCUUUGUUGGUCGAAACUAAGGUGCUUUGUUGGUUGAAACCAAGGUGCUUUGUUGGUUGAAACCAAGGUGCUUUGUUGGUUGAAACCAAGGUGCUUUGUUGGUUGAAACCAAGGUGCUUUGUUGGUUGAAACCAAGGUGCUUUGUUGGUUGAAACCAAGGUGCUUUGUUGGGUGAAACCAAGGUGCUUUUUUGGGUGAAACCAAGGUGUUAUGUUGGUUAAUACCAAGGUGUUAUGUUGGUUAAUACCAAGGUGUUAUGUUGGUUGAAACCAAGGUGCUUUGUUGGUUGAAACCAAGGUGCUUUGUUGGUUGAAACCAAGGUGCUUUGUUGGGUGAAACCAAGGUGUUAUGUUGGUUAUUACCAAGGUGAUUUGUUGGUUGAAACCAAGGUGCUUUGUUGGGGAAACCAAUGUGCUUUGUUGGGUGAAACCAAGGUGCUAUGUUGGUUGAUACCAAGGUGCUUUGUUGUUCGAAACCAAGGUGCUUUGUUGGUUGAAACCAAGGUGCUUUGUUGGGUGAAACCAAGGUGUUAUGUUGGUUAAUACCAAGGUGUUAUGUUGGUUAAUACCAAGGUGUUAUGUUGGUUAAUACCAAGGUGCUUUGUUGGUUAAUACCAAGGUGUUAUGUUGGUUAAUACCAAGGUGUUAUGUUGGUUGAUACCAAGGUGUUAUGUUGGUUAAUACCAAGGUGUUAUGUUGGUUGAUACCAAGGUGUUAUGUUGGUUAAUACCAAGGUGUUAUGUUGGUUGAUACCAAGGUGUUAUGUUGGUUAAUACCAAGGUGUUAUGUUGGUUGAUACCAAGGUGUUAUGUUGGUUAAUACCAAG